rnacentral:rRNA from 1 species
CUGAACUAGAUGAAUUAUUGAGAAAAUGAGGGAGGGGUGAAAAUCAAGCCCAUAUUAAAGCUGGGCCACACGCCCCACGGGUGCGCACGCUAUAAACAUGCCUGCCACCCCGGGUCCCGGCUGGAACACAGCCAAACAAAACAAUGGAGUCCGCCUUUCCAACAGCUGCACGGCUCGGGCUCCAUGUCCUCCUCUACUCAUCGCUGCUCCUCAACGCCCUCUUCCUCGUGCACCACUUCCUCUCCGCCCCGCCGGCGCCGUCCCCGCUUCUCAGCGAGGCCAACAACGGCGGUGCGCUGAGCUGGACGCUAAGGGCGGCCAGGGAUGCCGAGUCCGUGGCCGCGGCGGGAUGCUCUGGCCACGGCCGCGUGUUCCUGGAUGGCAUCGUCGGCGAGGACGGGCGGCCCGGGUGCGAGUGCAACACCUGCUUCGAAGGGCCGGACUGCUCCGCCCGGACGCCCGACUGCACCGUCGACGCCGACAGCGGGGACCCGAUGUUCCUGGAGCCACACUGGAUGCGGCACGCGGAGGCCAGCGCCGUGGUGGUCUCCGGGUGGCACCGCAUGAGCUACAGAGCCACCGACGGUCUCUUCCAGUCCGUCGAGCUCGAGCGCUGCAUCAGGCGGCUGCACAGGGCCGUCGGCAACGCCGUCGCCGACGACAAGCAAAUCGUCUUCGCCACCGGCUCCAUGCAGCUGAUCAACGCGCUGGUGUACGCCCUGUCCCCAGACAGCAACUCCGGCUCGACGGCCAACGUGGUCGCCACCACGCCGUACUACCCGGCUUACAGAACGCAGAUCGUGUUGUUCGACAGCCGGGAGUACAAAUGGGCCGGGAACACCUCCAUGUGGGCGAAAGCGUCGGGGAACUCCACCACCAAGGAGGACGUCAUCGAGUUCGUGACGUCGCCGAACAACCCCGACGCCCUGCUCCACCAGCCCGUCGUCGUCGGCUCGUCGGCGAUCCUCGACCACGCCUACUUCUGGCCGCACUUCACGCACAUCCCCGCGCCCUCCGACGCGGACGUCAUGCUCUUCACCACCUCCAAGCUCUCCGGCCAUGCCAGCAGUCGAUUCGGGUGGGCGCUGAUAAGGGACGAGAAGGUGGCCAAGAGGGUCAAUGACUACAUUAUGCAGAACACCAUGGGCGCGUCCCGCGACACCCAGCUCCGGAUGCUUGCCAUCUUCAAGACCAUACUGGCCAACCUGCACGGCAAGGAGGACAUCUUCGCCUUCGGGCACGACGUGAUGACGGCCAAAUGGCGCAAGCUUAGCGCCGUCGUGUCGCACUCCCGCCGGAUCUCGCUGCAGAACAUCCCUCCCCAGUACUGAACCUACUUCGACAAGAUCAGGGAGCCAUCCCCAGCUUAUGCGUGGGUCAAGUGUGAGAGGGAGGAAGACAGUGACUGCUCCGACGUGCUGCUCAAGGCCAAGAUAAUCACACGGUCCGGCGUCUGGAACGAUGCCAGCAGCCGGUACACGAGGAUAAGCCUCAUCAAGUCCCAGGACGACUUCGACCUGCUCCUCGACAGGAUCACAGAAUUUGUCGAUGCCGAGCUCACCGCUGCUGGUUCCAACUCCAUGUGAUGUCCCGUGUUAAUAUACAGAAACGGGUCAAGGAAAUGUGAGCAUACAGAAGGUAUGUAUUUGGUUAGGACGGGUACCAAAAGUGCGACGUCCAGAGGUCAGCUACGUGUUGGUUGUGUCCCAGACUCCCAGGCUAGGUGAUGAUCGAGGAGCACGCGUUGUGACUGGACACUGAACAUUACUCGAAUGAUCAGCUAUGCGUUGAUUGUUCUCACCGUGUGUUACUUAUUAGACAAGAAAAAUGUUUCCAUGCUGUAUUGAGUGGAGGAUUAAGGAGCACAUGCAAAGCUCAGAAACUGGUACAUUAAUGCUAGUUUGUCCGAGUCAUAAUUUUCUUUUCUUUUUUGUGUGGGAACUCAGGGAGUUUUUAUUGAAUAGUGAUGCUCAGAUAGUGAUGAUGAAAAAACCUCUAGUGUUUAUGAUACCCUGGAAAGAGCUAAGUUAUACUUUCUCCGUCCAUAAUAUAAUAGUGUUUUUUUUACACGGGAGUAGCAUUCAGUCGGUAAAAUCCUCAAAGUUGUGUUCAGGUUUGAGCUAGCUAAAAAAGGGGAGGACAAAGGGUCAGUUAUGUCAGGAAUCUUCUGGAAUUGCAUGAGUUUGGG